rnacentral:misc_RNA from 1 species
GAAAUGCGAUAGGUAAUGUGAAACGCAUCACUCGUGAAUCAUCAAAUCUUUGAACGCAUAUUGCACCCUCUGGUACUCCGGAGGGUAUGCCUGUUUGAGAAUUGGAAUCCCAUCAAUAACAACCUAGUUGUUGGAAAUGAGCGCUCGUGUUUUAAAUGCGUCGCUUGAAAUAUAGGCGCAACAGCACUAGCAAACACACUACGCUGUUGGACACUAUUUAAUGCUUCGGCUUGAAAGAGUCCUUUGAGUAGGUAGGGUUAUGUGUUGAUAUGUGACAAAUAAACAUGCAUGCAUGUUAAAGAGCCACGCCUUCCAGCGUGCAAGAGAAGGUUCCAAUGGCGCGUAUUUCGGUGCGAGCUGUUUGGCGCCGACUCCAAAUUCAAUCUCAAAUCAGGUAGGA